AUUGAACGCUGGCGGCAGGCCUAACACAUGCAAGUCGAGCGGAUGAAGGGAGCUUGCUCCUGGAUUCAGCGGCGGACGGGUGAGUAAUGCCUAGGAAUCUGCCUGGUAGUGGGGGAUAACGUCCGGGAACGGGCGCUAAUACCGCAUACGUCCUGAGGGAGAAAGUGGGGGAUCUUCGGACCUCACGCUAUCAGAUGAGCCUAGGUCGGAUUAGCUAGUUGGUGGGGUAAAGGCCUACCAAGGCGACGAUCCGUAACUGGUCUGAGAGGAUGAUCAGUCACACUGGAACUGAGACACGGUCCAGACUCCUACGGGAGGCAGCAGUGGGGAAUAUUGGCCAAUGGGCGAAAGCCUGAUCCAGCCAGGCCGCGUGUGUGAAGAAGGUCUUCGGAUUGUAAAGCACUUUAGGUUGGGAGGAAGGGAAGUAAGUUAAUACCUUGCUGUUUUGACGUUACCAACAGAAUAAGCACCGGCUAACUUCUU
rnacentral:rRNA from 1 species